rnacentral:rRNA from 1 species
AGUGUUUUGACGUGGCGGACGGGCGAGUAAUUUGUAAGAAUCUGCGUUUGGGUGGGGGAUAACUUACGGAAACGUCUGAUAAUACCCCAUAAAGCUGUUUAAGUUAAAGAUUUAUCGCCCAAACAUGAGCUUGCAUCUGAUUAGUUUGUUGGUGGGGUAAUUGCUUACCAAGGCGAUGAUCAGUAGUUGAUUUGAGAGGAUGAUCAACCGCACCGGGACUGAGAAACGGAACGGACUUCUACGGAAGGCAGCAGUGGGGAAUUUUGCACAAUGGGCGCAAUGCCUGAUGCAGCAAUGCCGCGUGGAGGAUGAAGGUUUUGCAAUUGUAAACUCCUUUUCUCAUUGAAGAAUAGUUGACGGUAUUUGAGGAAUAAGCAUCGGCUAAUUCCGUGCCAGCAGCCGCGGUAAUACGGGAGAUGCAAGCGUUAUCCGGAAUUAUUGGGCGUAAAGAGUGCGUAGGUUGUUAAGUGUGUUCUAUAUUAAACUUUGCAGCUUAACUUCAAAAUGGUAUGGAAAACUACUUAACUAGAGUGUGUUAGAGGUAAAGGGAAUUUCCAGUGUAGCGGUGAAAUGUGUAGAUAUUGGAAAGAACACCGGUGGCGAAGGCGCUUUACUAGGUCACAACUGACACUGAGGUACGAAAGCUAAGGUAAUGAUCAGGAUUAGAUACCCUAGUAGUCUUAGCUGUAAACGAUGGAUACUAAAUGGUGUUUUAAGCACUGUUAAAGCUAACGCGUUAAGUAUCCCGCCUGGGGAGUACGCUUGCAAAAGUGAAACUCAAAGGAAUUGACGGGGACCUGCACAAUUGGUGGAGCGUGCGGUUUAAUUCGAUGGUACCCGAAGAAUCUUACCAGAGUUUGACAUAUUAAGUUGCUUUUGAAAGAAAGUUUUCCUUUUAGGGCUUAAAUACAGGUGGUGCAUGGUUGUCGUCAGUUCGUGUAGUGAUAUAUUUAGUUAAGUCUAGCAACGAACGCAACCCUUGUUUUUAGUUGUUUUUUUAAUAUCUAAAAAGACUGCCGGUUAUAAAUCGGAGGAAGGAGAGGAUGAGGUCAAAUCAUCAUGCCCCUUAUACUCUGGGCUACACGCGCGCUACAAUGGAUAAGACAAUGGGUUGCCACUUUGCGAAAAGGAGCUAAUCCCGUAAACUUGUCCUAAGUUCAGAUUGAAGGCUGAAACUCGCCUUCAUGAAGCUGGAAUCAAUAGUAAUCGCCAAUCAGAUAUGUGGCGGUGAAUACGUUCUCAGGUCUUGUACACACCGCCCGUCACACUAUGGAAGCCGGCAAUGCUUGACAAUAUAUUUCUAACGUU